CGGACAGUGUAAAGUCGCACCUCAGACGUCUUUUGGUUCUUAGGGACAGAGUUGUCUGCCCAGCUGACCCUCACAGCAUCAUGGGGAUCCUUUAAACUCAAAUAGAUUUAUAAAAUGAUGAAGGGGAAAGAGAAGACAUUGCAGUCUCCACAAAGAUUCCAAUCAUUCAUCGGUUUGUGGAGCAGUGGAAGACAUUUUUGCCAAAUUAAAGCAGGCUCAAGAUAUCUUGUCCUUAAGACAACAAGAAAUAAAGGGCUUUACAGCAAAAAUGAGACUCUUAACGCAUUGGGCCAGGUGAGACUUUCAGCAGCUCUAAUGCUGAUAUUCCCAGUAUGGGAUGAGACUCCAGAGCUCACCAACAUCUGUGAGCACAUGUGUGCAGAAAACUCUAUAGCCUGAUGCUUAUUCUAACUUGAGGUUUUAUUGCCUGUGAUAUAUUUUGUAGUUACUUUAUACGGGCCCUUGUUCAAGACUGUCCAUGGUACUCCUUUGCAGAAGCUUAGAGAUAGAGGACGCCUUCUACAUGGCACUGACACAUUUAUUAAUGAGUUUCUUUAACCUUUGAUUUCAUGUAUUUGUUCUUUGUUCUCCAUGACAUGUGGAAGCAAAAUA